GUGCUCACUUUGGCAGCAAGUAUACUAAAAUUGGAUUGAUACAGAGAAGGUUAGCAUGGCCCCUGUGCAAGGAUGACAUGCAAAUUCAUGAAGCAACUGGUAAUUUU